rnacentral:rRNA from 1 species
AUUGAACGCUGGCGGCAGGCUUAACACAUGCAAGUCGAGCGGAGAGAGGUAGCUUGCUACUGAUCUUAGCGGCGGACGGGUGAGUAAUGCUUAGGAAUCUGCCUAUUAGUGGGGGACAACAUUUCGAAAGGAAUGCUAAUACCGCAUACGUCCUACGGGAGAAAGCAGGGGAUCUUCGGACCUUGCGCUAAUAGAUGAGCCUAAGUCGGAUAGCUAGUUGGUGGGGUAAAGGCCUACCAAGGCGACGAUCUGUAGCGGGUCUGAGAGGAUGAUCCGCCACACUGGGACUGAGACACGGCCCAGACUCCUACGGGAGGCAGCAGUGGGGAAUAUUGGACAAUGGGCGGAAGCCUGAUCCAGCCAUGCCGCGUGUGUGAAGAAGGCCUUAUGGUUGUAAAGCACCUUAAGCGAGGAGGAGGCUACUUUAGUUAAUACCUAGAGAUAGUGGACGUUACUCGCAGAAUAAGCACCGGCUAACUCUGUGCCAGCCGCCGCUGUAAUAC